CCUACGGGUGGCAGCAGUGGGGAAUAUUGGACAAUGGGCGAAAGCCUGAUCCAGCCAUGCCGCGUGUGUGGAGAAGGCCUUCGGGUUGUAAAGCACUUUCAGUGGGGAAGAAAGCCUUGGGGCUAAUACCCUCGAGGAAGGACAUCACCCACAGAAGAAGCACCGGCUAACUCCGUGCCAGCAGCCGCGGUAAUACGGAGGGUGCGAGCGUUAAUCGGAAUUACUGGGCGUAAAGCGCGCGUAGGCGGUCUGAUAAGCCGGUUGUGAAAGCCCCGGGCUCAACCUGGGAACGGCAUCCGGAACUGUCAGGCUAGAGUGCAGGAGAGGAAGGUAGAAUUCCCGGUGUAGCGGUGAAAUGCGUAGAGAUCGGGAGGAAUACCAGUGGCGAAGGCGGCCUUCUGGACUGACACUGACGCUGAGGUGCGAAAGCGUGGGUAGCAAACAGGAUUAGAUACCCUAGUAGUC
rnacentral:rRNA from 1 species